AGGGGCAUAGUUCAACGGUAGAAUAGAGGCCUCCAAAACCUUUGGUGUGGGUUCGAUUCCUACUGCCCCUGCCA
rnacentral:tRNA from 1 species